rnacentral:sRNA from 1 species
UAAAGCCAGAAGAAGACGACUUCCAGGAUUUUCAAGAUGCUUCUAAGUCAGGAUCCCUUGAUGACUCGUUCAGUGAUUUCCAAGAGUUGCCUGCUUCUUCAAAAACAAGUAACUCCCAGCAUGGAAACAGUGCCCCUUCUUUGUUGAUGCCACUUCCUGGAACUAAAGCAUUGCCUUCAAUGGACAAAUAUGCUGUGUUUAAAGGAAUUGCAGCUGACAAGUCCUCUGAAAAUACUGUUCCACCUGGAGAUCCUGGUGAUAAAUAUAGUGCUUUCAGAGAACUUGAACAGACAGCAGAGAAUAAACCUUUAGCAAAAAAGUGGUCUCUUUUGAGAUUUUUUGGAGUCUAAAAAGUGACGGAGAGGGAAACUUACAAGAGAAAGCUUUGCAGAAUUCAGAUCUGCAGGAACUGAUGAUGGUUUCACCGAUUUUAAAACAGCCGAUAGUGU